UACGUAGGAUGCGAGCGUUGUCCGGAAUUAUUGGGCGUAAAGAGAACGUAGGCGGUUUGUUAAGUUUGGGCUUAAAGACUGGGGCUCAACCCCAGGAGUGGCUCGAAAACUGACAGACUAGAGGAUGGCAGAGGAAAGUGGAAUUCCCAGUGUAGCGGUGAAAUGCGUAGAUAUUGGGAGGAACACCAGUGGCGAAAGCGACCUUCUGGGCCAUUCCUGACGCUGAGGUUCGAAAGCUCGGGGAGCAAACAGG
rnacentral:rRNA from 1 species